rnacentral:tRNA from 1 species
CAAAUUAUAGCAUAUAAAAUGCUUUUUAUUUACACUAAAAAUAAAAAUAUUAAUUAUUUUAAUUUGA